GAUUAGAUACCCGGGUAGUCCCAGCUGUAAACGAUGCAAACUCGGUGAUGCAUUGGCUUGUGGCCAAUGCAGUGCCGCAGGGAAGCCGUUAAGUUUGCCGCCUGGGAAGUACGUACGCAAGUAUGAAACUUAAAGGAAUUGGCGGGGGAGCACCACAAGGGGUGAAGCCUGCGGUUCAAUUGGAGUCAACGCC
rnacentral:rRNA from 1 species